rnacentral:rRNA from 1 species
GAUGAACGCUGGCGGCGUGCUUAACACAUGCCAGUCGAACGAUGAAGCCCAGCUUGCUGGGUGGAUUAGUGGCGAACGGGUGAGUAACACGUGAGUAACCUGCCCUUAACUCUGGGAUAAGCCUGGGAAACUGGGUCUAAUACCGGAUAGGAGCGUCCACCGCAUGGUGGGUGUUGGAAAGAUUUAUCGGUUUUGGAUGGACUCGCGGCCUAUCAGCUUGUUGGUGAGGUAAUGGCUCACCAAGGCGACGACGGGUAGCCGGCCUGGGAGGGUGACCGGCCACACUGGGACUGAGACACGGCCCAGACUCCUACGGGAGGCAGCAGUGGGGAAUAUUGCACAAUGGGCGGAAGCCUGAUGCAGCGCAGCCGCGUGAGGGAUGACGGCCUUCGGGUUGUAAACCUCUUUCAGUAGGGAAGAAGCGAAAGUGACGGUACCUGCAGAAGAAGCACCGGCUAACUACGUG